rnacentral:lncRNA from 13 species
AGUCCCCCGGCCAACCCGCCCCGCCCCUCCUCGCCCCGCCCCCGGGCCGCAGCCCCACCCUGGCCUGCGGGCUCCACCAGCCGCUGCUUUGCUUUUCCGCGUUCCUGCGAUCUGAGAAUUUAGAUGCUGCCGGAAGCCGCCCUGGCAGUCCCGCUUUCCCACGGACAGGACUCUGUACUGGAUGGAUCAGUUGACACCACCCAGACCAGUCACCUGGCUCAGCCAGCUUUGCAAUCCCGCUCAGUAACAGAAGACAGCAAGAAAACUUCACUUGAACCCCGCUAUGAGUCCAUCUCCAUCCUGACCAAUCAGCAUUCCCCACUUCCUAAGCCCUUACUGGCCAGAUUAUCUUUAAAAAACUUCCAUCCACAGGCUGGGCGUGGUGGCUCACACCUGUAAUCCCCGGACAUUGGGAGACCAGGCGGGGUGGAUCGCUUGAGUUCAGGAGUUCGAGACCAGCAUGGUCAACAUGACAAAACCUGUCUCUACGAGCAAAACAAAAAAUUAGCCAGGCGUGAUAGCGGGUGCUUGUAAUCCCAGCUACUUGGGAGCCUGAGGGAGGAGAAUCACUUGAAUCCCAGAGGCGGAGGUUGCAGUGAGCUGAGAUCGUGCCACUGCCCUUCAGCCUGGGUGACAGAGAGAGACUCCAUCUCAAACACAACACUGACAACAAAAGAAACCAGCUCAGGGAGACUGAUGUGAGGAAUAAUUAAACUCUGGUCUCCUGCAUGGCCAGCUCUGUGUGAAUUACUCUUCAUUGCAAUUCCCGUCUUGAUAAAUUGGCUCUGACUAGGCAGUGGGCAAGGUGAGCCCUUUAGGUGUUCACACCUGCACGUGGGGAUGUGGAAUUGAGCAGUAAUUGAUUCCAUACCUUCCCCACCCCCAACUCCCACUCUCUUCAACAGAGGAUAUGUAAACUCAAGAGCCUUUAGUGGUGGCAGUAAACCCAAAAUAUCUGAAACAAGUCUCAACCAAUUUAAAACUUUAUUUUGCCAAGGAAGUCCUGGUGACAUGUGCCCAAGAUGGUUGAGGUACAGCUUGGUUUUAUAGAUCUUAGGGAGACAUGAGGCAUUGAUUAAUAUAGGUAAGAUAUACUUUGGUUCCAUCCAGUAAGGCAGGACAACUCCAAGAUAGGUAGAUGAGAGGCAAUAGAUUGCAUUCCUUUUUUUUGUUUUUGGAGAUGGCAUCUCUCUCUGUCGCCCAGACUGGAGUGCAGUAGAGCCAUCUUGGCUCACUGCAACCUCCACCUCCCAGGUUCAGGCGAUUCUCCUGCCUCAGCCUCCUGAGUAGCUGGGAUUAUAGGCAUGUGCCACCAUGCCUGGCUAAUUUUGAUAUUUUUAGUAGAGAUGGAGUUUCAUCAUGUUGGUCAGGCUGGUCUCGAAUGCCUGACCUCGUGAUC